rnacentral:lncRNA from 1 species
CAUUACUACAUAGUUGUGAAAAACUGAAAAUUGACUUUCAGAAUUGCCACUGGAUGUCCUUUUGUUUUAGUGACUGGUCUUGCACAAUUGUUUUGUACCUAGUGGAAUAUAAAGAGUGCAUCUCUACAUGAAAAGAAGUCCUGCCAUUAAAAUUUAAAAGACUGUAAUAUGAAUAACAGGAUUCCUCCAAAUGCAAUCAAUGUCAAUAAACUAUAUGCCAGGCUACAAAAGGAAAUUAAUGGAAAAUUAGAAAAUUUCUUGCAGCUCAGACACAUAAAGGAGUUGAAAACGUUGAGUGUCUCACUUUCAUGGAAGUGCUCAUUGGAUGCCAAGUUUUUAGAGAGCUAA